GAAAUGCGAUAAGUAAUGUGAAUUGCAGAAUUCAGUGAAUCAUCGAAUCUUUGAACGCACAUUGCGCCCGCCAGUAUUCUGGCGGGCAUGCCUGUCCGAGCGUCAUUUCAACCCUCGAACCCCUCCGGGGGAUCGGCGUUGGGGAUCGGGACCCCUCACACGGGUGCCGGCCCCUAAAUACAGUGGCGGUCUCGCCGCAGCCUCUCCUGCGCAGUAGUUUGCACAACUCGCACCGGGAGCGCGGCGCGUCCACGUCCGUAAAACACCCAACUUUCUGAAAUGUUGACCUCGGAUCAGGUAGGAAUACCCGCUGAACUUAA
rnacentral:misc_RNA from 1 species